rnacentral:rRNA from 1 species
CGGCAGGCCUAACACAUGCAAGUCGAGCGGUAGCACAGAGAGCUUGCUCUCGGGUGACGAGCGGCGGACGGGUGAGUAAUGUCUGGGAAACUGCCUGAUGGAGGGGGAUAACUACUGGAAACGGUAGCUAAUACCGCAUAACGUCGCAAGACCAAAGUGGGGGACCUUCGGGCCUCAUGCCAUCAGAUGUGCCCAGAUGGGAUUAGCUAGUAGGUGGGGUAACGGCUCACCUAGGCGACGAUCCCUAGCUGGUCUGAGAGGAUGACCAGCCACACUGGAACUGAGACACGGUCCAGACUCCUACGGGAGGCAGCAGUGGGGAAUAUUGCACAAUGGGCGCAAGCCUGAUGCAGCCAUGCCGCGUGUAUGAAGAAGGCCUUCGGGUUGUAAAGUACUUUCAGCGGGGAGGAAGGCGAUAAGGUUAAUAACCUUGUCGAUUGACGUUACCCGCAGAAGAAGCACCGGCUAACUCCGUGCCAGCAGCCGCGGUAAUACGGAGGGUGCAAGCGUUAAUCGGAAUUACUGGGCGUAAAGCGCACGCAGGCGGUCUGUCAAGUCGGAUGUGAAAUCCCCGGGCUCAACCUGGGAACUGCAUUCGAAACUGGCAGGCUAGAGUCU